rnacentral:snRNA from 1 species
AUUUCACCCUCUUCUUGGCUACGGUCAUGUGUGUGAUCUGUUCUUGUCAGAUUAAUAUCUGACAGGCUCUCCCAUCAGGGGGUGUCUGAUGUACGUUAAACAGAUUUUUGAGAACAGUAGCCAAGACUGGUGGGGUUCGCUCCACUGGGCCAAAGCAUCAUCCCAGUAUUGCAGAGCUUUUGAGAGCAGUUAUAAAAAUU